AGUGGAUGGGGAGCAACCUAGUUGUGCGUGUGUAAAGGUAGUGCCAAGAAAAGCGAUGAUCAUGUUGAAAAUCAAUUCCCGGUACCCGAAACCGACACAGGUGGGCAAGUAGAGAAUACUAAGGGGCGCGAGGUAACUCUCUCCAAGGAACUCGGCAAAAUGACCCCGUAACUUAGGGAGAAGGGGUGCCACCGAGAGGUGGUCGCAGUGAAGAGGCCCAGGCGACUGUUUUAGCAAAAACAUAGGUCUCUGCAAACUCGAAAGAGGAGGUAUAGGGGCUGACGCCUGCCCAGUGCCGGAAGGUUAAAGAAGUUGGUCAGUUUUAGGAUGAAGCUAGCGACUGAAGCCCCGGUGAACGGCGGCCGUAACUAUAACGGUCCUAAGGUAGCGAAAUUCCUUGUCGGGUAAGUUCCGACCCGCACGAAAGGCGUAACGAUCUGGGCGCUGUCUCGGAGAGAGGCUCGGCGAAAUAGGAUUGUCUGUGAAGAUACGGACUACCUGCAUUUGGACAGAAAGACCCUAUGAAGCUUUACUAUAGCUUGGAAUUGUGUUCGGGCUUCCUGUGCGCAGGAUAGGUGGGAGGCGUAGAAGGUAUUCUUGUGGGGAUACUGGAGCCAACGGUGAGAUACCACUCUCAGGAGGCUAGAAUUCUAACUUAAUUAAGGACAGUUUCAGGUGGGUAGUUUGACUGGGGCGGUCGCCUCCAAAAAGGUAACGGAGGCGUACAAAGGUUCCCUCAGACUGGUUGGAAAUCAGUCGAAGAGUGCAAAGGCAGAAGGGAGCUUGACUGCGAGAAGUACAGUUCGAGCAGGGUGGAAACACGGUCUUAGUGAUCCGACGGUGCUGUGUGGAAGGGCCGUCGCUCAGCGGAUAAAAGUUACUCUAGGAUAACAGGCUGAUCUCCCCCAAGAGUUCACAUCGACGGGGAGGUUUGGCACCUCGAUGUCGGCUCAUCGCAACCUGGGGCGGAAGUACGUCCCAAGGGUUGGGCUGUUCGCCCAUUAAAGCGGUACGUGAGCUGGGUUCAGAACGUCGUGAGACAGUUCGGUCCAUAUCCGAUGUAGGCGUGAGAAUAUUGAGAGGAGCCUUCCUUAGUACGAGAGGACCGGGAAGGACGCACCGCUGGUGUACCUGUUAUGAUGCCAAUUGUAAACGCAGGGUAGCCAAGUGCGGAGAGGAUAACCGCUGAAAGCAUCUAAGUGGGAAGCCCACCUCAAGAUGAGUAUUCUGGUGUAAGGUCACGGGAAGACGACCCAUAAAUAGGCACGAGGUGGAAGUGCAGAGAUGUAUGAAGCCGAAGUGUACUAAUAGACCGUCGGCUUGACUAG
rnacentral:rRNA from 1 species